GAGACGGCGGGAUGCUGCCCAAGGCUCCAGCCUGCAAGUGUGGAAGCAUGUGAGAGCCCCUGGGCCCCUGAGAUGCGGCAGAAACCCCAGCCCCGCCUCUCACUGGCUGGAGGAGCCUGGGCCUGUUACCUCUCCCGGCCUCACCUUCUCCACCGUUGCAGGGAGUGGGGAGCGUGUGCCAAGAGCCCCUUCCAGCUGGUGACCCGAGGAUGCGGCCUGAGGAGUCCUCCAUCCUUAACAAAGGUGCUUCCCUCUGCCCAGCUCUCCUGACCUUAUGUGUGGGGCUCAGGAAUGGCUUCGGGGCAGGGGCUGGCAUCUACCUCCCAGGUCUAGGCAGCCAUGCCAUCCAUCUGGUCUCUCUGGGACUCAGUUUCCCCACACCUGAAGGAGAGGAGAAGGGCAAGGAGGAGAAAGGGAGCAGGCAAGGCCACUGAGCCCGGUGCUGUCAAGGGUGGCGUCCCCUCGGUGAGUCCAUGUUCCAGCUCACUAAAAGCAGGCCCAAGGAAGUCAAUUUCGUGGAGCUUGUUCACUGGCUGGGGACUGCCCAGGUCCCCUCCGUGCCCACCAGGCACUUCCCCUCUCAGGGCCACCCUUUUCCACCCGUGAAUUGAAGAGAUGGACGAGGGCGACGGUGACAGGCACGGAGGGUCAGCGCGGCAGGCAGGUGCUGCUGUCACCCCACUGCACAGCUGGGAGACCCGAGGCUGCCGAGGUGUGCAGGGCCUCACUUGCUCAGGGCCACACCGCCAGGAAGAGGCCCAAGAGGGAUUAGAACCCAGCUCUGUGUC
rnacentral:lncRNA from 1 species